GAUGAACGCUGGCGGCGUGCCUAAUACAUGCAAGUCGAGCGAACAGACGAGGAGCUUGCUCCUCUGACGUUAGCGGCGGGCGGGUGAGUAACACGUGGAUAACCUACCUAUAAGACUGGGAUAACUUCGGGAAACCGGAGCUAAUACCGGAUAAUAUAUUGAACCGCAUGGUUCAAUAGUGAAAGACGGUUUUGCUGUCACUUAUAGAUGGAUCCGCGCCGCAUUAGCUAGUUGGUAAGGUAACGGCUUACCAAGGCAACGAUGCGUAGCCGACCUGAGAGGGUGAUCGGCCACACUGGAACUGAGACACGGUCCAGACUCCUACGGGAGGCAGCAGUAGGGAAUCUCCCGCAAUGGGCGAAAGCCUGACGGAGCAACGCCGCGUGAGUGAUGAAGGUCUUCGGAUCGUAAAACUCUGUUAUUAGGGAAGAACAAAUGUGUAAGUAACUAUGCACGUCUUGACGGUACCUAAUCAGAAAGCCACGGCUAACUACGUG
rnacentral:rRNA from 1 species